GACGAACGCUGGCGGCGUGCUUAACACAUGCAAGUCGAACGGAAAGGCCUCUUUCGGGGGGUACUCGAGUGGCGAACGGGUGAGUAACACGUGAGUAACCUGCCCUUGACUUUGGGAUAACUUCAGGAAACUGGGGCUAAUACCGGAUAGGAGCUCCUGCUGCAUGGUGGGGGUUGGAAAGUUUCGGCGGUUGGGGAUGGACUCGCGGCUUAUCAGCUUGUUGGUGGGGUAGUGGCUUACCAAGGCUUUGACGGGUAGCCGGCCUGAGAGGGUGACCGGCCACAUUGGGACUGAGAGACGGCCCAGACUCCUACGGGUGGCAGCAGUGGGGAAUAUUGCACAAUGGGUGGAAGCCUGAUGCAGCAACGCCGUGGGCGGGAUGACGGCCUUGGGGUUGUAAACCGCUUUCGCUCAUGACGAAGCUUUGUGUGACGGUAGUGGGUAAAGAAGCACCGGCUAACUACGUG
rnacentral:rRNA from 1 species